AAGUUUGUUAUAGAAAAUGUAGGAUCCAAUGUUUUUGAAGCGUGACCAAUACUAGGGACUAAAAGUCAGGAU